GCCCUUGUAGCUCAGUCGGUAGAGCACCUCCAUGGUAAGGAGGGGGUAGUCGGUUCAAAUCCGACCGAGGGCU
rnacentral:tRNA from 1 species